rnacentral:rRNA from 1 species
GGGGAGCAAACAGGAUUAGAUACCCUGGUAGUCCACGCCGUAAACGAUGUCGACUAGCCGUUGGGAUCCUUGAGAUCUUAGUGGCGCAGCUAACGCGAUAAGUCGACCGCCUGGGGAGUACGGCCGCAAGGUUAAAACUCAAAUGAAUUGACGGGGGCCCGCACAAGCGGUGGAGCAUGUGGUUUAAUUCGAAGCAACGCGAAGAACCUUACCUGGCCUUGACAUGCUGAGAACUUUCCAGAGAUGGAUUGGUGCCUUCGGGAACUCAGACACAGGUGCUGCAUGGCUGUCGUCAGCUCGUGUCG